GGGCAGGUGGCGAAAUUGGUAGACGCGCAUGGCUUAGGACCAUGUCCCGCAAGGGGUUGGGAGUUCGAGUCUCCCCCUGCCCA
rnacentral:tRNA from 4 species